AUUUUGGUGGCUGAAAUUUAGGCGGAAAAUUGUAAAUUUUCUUAUGGAUUUUUCCUCAAAAGA
rnacentral:tRNA from 1 species